AAGCAAAGGAAAAAAACGCGUGUGUUUUGGUUUUUCCAAAUUGUGAAAACUCCCGUUUUUUUUAAUAAUAUAUCAGCUUGAAUGACUUAACAUCCAAGGUGCAUGGCAAACUGUGAACCUUGCGUGUGCAGAUGCUCCGAAAGCAAAACACAGCCACUGGCAAUUUCUUUUAUUAUUGGAACCCAGAUACGAUUCCCCAAGAUCCACCGGAACAGAAACCAGGGCUCCUUCUACGGCUAGCGGAAGACGCUGGCCAGUUCGAUACACAUCAUGCAGACCAAAGCUGGAACAGCGCUGAUGCGAAAACCAAGAAUGUUUGUGGUUACACAGAAAAUUUCGAUCAAAUUAACACCGGAAUCCGGAUUCAACAUGUAUCCGGCAUCUAUGAGUUUCCUUUGGAAUGCCGAUGCUCGGUGCGUCAGCCGUAAAUAUUCAUUCAGUGCUUAUUUCAGUUUUUCUUCUCCAUCUCUUCAUUUAUUUAUUUUUUAUUCUAGAACAGCGCCGGAGUUUGUGACGAAAAAUUUGGCAACUGCGGGCCGCUGCUGAUUUGUCGACCAAAACUCAAAUUUCAGUAAACCGCUACCACCAAAUACCUCACAUGGAAACUUCUGGUAAUACGAUGUGGCCUGCGGCAAGGCCGGCCGAUUACGUAAAAAUCGAUUCCACGGUUCCUGGGAAAGACAGGUGAGGAUAUAGGCGGCGAGAUAGCCGUAGGCUUAGAAAAUAGCUGUUCCUGUGCCAAAACGAGCUCGGAACCGAGAGGUUCUGAACCUGUCGAAGUAGUGAAACUUGCAGUUCAUCACUCCAGUAUUAGGCGGCUCGAAUGGAUUUUAAUGUAUCCCAAAAUUGUUAAGCCAUAGAUUUAACAGGAUUUGAAAGUCAGUACAAGUUUAAAUUCGACAUAGAAUGGAUCAACACAUCAUGAUACAUCGCAUGCGAUAAUGAUAAGAACAGAUAACAAUCGUAUGGGUGCUAAAACAAUCGGAUAUGGAACCACACCGCUCAUACUUAUAAGCAAGA